AGAAGGCUUGGCCGUCCUGGGGAGGGCACCGGGGCAAGGAACAGAGGAGGGGUGACUGCGGGCACUGAAGAAGUCAUGCUGUUGAGAAACAAGUCCUCGCCUUAAGGAGCCGAACAGAGAAGGCUGUUUGGGAGGAGGCCUAGGGGAGACGUGUGCGGCAGUUGCCACCAGAAGCAUAAGAAAUGCCACGGGCAGCGGCCUGCUGUGCUCUGCUCCGCCCAGGCCUCCGCCCGGGUCUUCCCCUGGCAUCAGGAAUGGCUGUGGCUGUCCCUGCUACCGAGACUUAAACCCAGUUCAUAAUUUCCUUUCCUAAUUAGGCAUGGGAACGAUGGAGACAAUUAUUAAUAAUAUGCUGAGUCUUUUUUUAAAGUGCCCCCUCAGAGCCGAGCCUGAGAACAGUGUUGUUGAUGACGAGCAGCCGCACGGCCACCACGCCGGGCUCCGUGCCCAGGACUCCAGGCAGAACUCAAUAAGUCAGAAGAGUCACGGCUUCAAUGUCACCUCCUCAGAGGCUUUCCUGAUGCUCAGGGGGAUGCUGCCUCCCCCUUCACACACUCUCUCCCGUGUCAUCCUGCCUUGGUUUCCCCAAAGCGUUUCUCUCCGCAGUCUGCAGUGGCCCCUGGAUCUGCUUGCUUGUUUUUCGCUGUGUAGCAGUGACAGGGGUUACCAAGCAGGAGUUUGCUGCCGGCGUGUGUAGAAGUCAACACGACUGCACGCGGGGUUCGAGAAAAAGUAAAAGAGCUUCGUUGCAAGGUCAACCAGCAAGGAAAUGGGAGGCUCAAAUCCGUCUCCUCAGUGUGGCAGCCAAGACGGGUUGUAGAGGGUAGGGGGUGGCUGGAAGACAGUCUUCGUUGUCGAUGGACCUGAGCUUGCCCGGGGUGCCAGCUGUUAGCAUAUACCCGCCGCGUGUUCUGCGUGUUCGGCGUAGUUGCACCUGCGGCCCAGUUCCGGCUUAGCUACGCGUGCAGAACCAGCCCCAGGAGGGAAUUAGAGAAGCUGAAUGACAACAGCUGCUGUGUCCUCUCGCCGCCGGGGAGCAGGUUGGCGUUAGGUUCACAGGUGCACGACCCCGAGCCUCCCUGUGCUGUCCUGCUCCUCCGCUCCCCAGCGC